rnacentral:tRNA from 1 species
GCCAGCAUGGCUUAGUGGUUGAGCGUUGGCCCCAUGAACCAGGAGGUCAGGGUUCGAGUCCCGGUCAGGGCA